rnacentral:rRNA from 2 species
GGUUAAGCGACUAAGCGUACACGGUGGAUGCCCUGGCAGUCAGAGGCGAUGAAGGACGUGCUAAUCUGCGAUAAGCGUCGGUAAGGUGAUAUGAACCGUUAUAACCGGCGAUUUCCGAAUGGGGAAACCCAGUGUGAUUCGUCACACUAUCAUUAACUGAAUCCAUAGGUUAAUGAGGCGAACCGGGGGAACUGAAACAUCUAAGUACCCCGAGGAAAAGAAAUCAACCGAGAUUCCCCCAGUAGCGGCGAGCGAACGGGGAGCAGCCCAGAGCCUGAAUCAGUGUGUGUGUUAGUGGAAGCGUCUGGAAAGGCGCGCGAUACAGGGUGACAGCCCCGUACACAAAAAUGCACAUAUUGUGAGCUCGAUGAGUAGGGCGGGACACGUGGUAUCCUGUCUGAAUAUGGGGGGCCCAUCCUCCAAGGCUAAAUACUCCUGACUGACCGAUAGUGAACCAGUACCGUGAGGGAAAGGCGAAAAGAACCCCGGCGAGGGGAGUGAAAAAGAACCUGAAACCGUGUACGUACAAGCAGUGGGAGCACGCUUAGGCGUGUGACUGCGUACCUUUUGUAUAAUGGGUCAGCGACUUAUAUUCUGUAGCAAGGUUAACCGAAUAGGGGAGCCGAAGGGAAACCGAGUCUUAACUGGGCGUUAAGUUGCAGGGUAUAGACCCGAAACCCGGUGAUCUAGCCAUGGGCAGGUUGAAGGUUGGGUAACACUAACUGGAGGACCGAACCGACUAAUGUUGAAAAAUUAGCGGAUGACUUGUGGCUGGGGGUGAAAGGCCAAUCAAACCGGGAGAUAGCUGGUUCUCCCCGAAAGCUAUUUAGGUAGCGCCUCGUGAAUUCAUCUCCGGGGGUAGAGCACUGUUUCGGCAAGGGGGUCAUCCCGACUUACCAACCCGAUGCAAACUGCGAAUACCGGAGAAUGUUAUCACGGGAGACACACGGCGGGUGCUAACGUCCGUCGUGAAGAGGGAAACAACCCAGACCGCCAGCUAAGGUCCCAAAGUCAUGGUUAAGUGGGAAACGAUGUGGGAAGGCCCAGACAGCCAGGAUGUUGGCUUAGAAGCAGCCAUCAUUUAAAGAAAGCGUAAUAGCUCACUGGUCGAGUCGGCCUGCGCGGAAGAUGUAACGGGGCUAAACCAU